CUCAAACAAAAGAAAAGGACAGAUAAAAGCACGACAAUGGAAAAAAGGAAAACAAGAAUCCCCCCAAAACGUUUGUUUUUCUGGUCCACAACCUUUUUUUU
rnacentral:ribozyme from 1 species